GAUGGCGUCCAGUGAAAAUCCAUCUCCUACACUAGCUUCAGUUUCGAGUGAAACAACAAAAGCAUCAGCUUUAUAUGUGUCAUCAUUAUCAUCAUUUACUUUUCCAAUAACUCCAUCCGCUGCUGAAUUGUCCUCAACACAUUCUGAUUGUCGCUUCUCAUCAGAUGAAAGAAGCAGUUCAUCCAUCCGCAACAGAUCAUCCAUCUCACUCCUUUUAUCAAGUGAAGCGUCUGGAACUCUGUCCAUGUCACCAAUAUCACCUGAGACAAGAUUAUUUUUCUCAAACUCAAGCAGAGAAGCAGGAUUUACUGCUCCAGCAAUUGAACUUCUACCAUCAAUUUCAGUUUCAGCUAAAUUCUGAAAAUGCUCAGGCUCAGCUAGUACUAAAUCUUCACCAGUCUUCAUUUGCACUUCCUUGCUGUUAUCAUCCAUAUUUGGGUCACAAUCUUCACCAACCUUAUUAUCAUUUAGUUCACAAGUCUGAGCUGGUUGCAUUUCACCAUUAUCUCUAGCUGUUGCAAGUACACCACCACCAUCGAUCUCACUUGCCACAGCUUGCUGUCCACUGGAGUCCAUAGUAUUUUCAAUACAAAGGUUUUCAGCAUUCUCUUCAUUUACUGAAGUUAGUUUCAGGUCUGUCGCUGAUGUCAGAGUAGCAUCAUUUUCUUCAUUCUUACAGAUUGUGAUUCCACUUAUAUCAUAUCUUUGAUUAUGAAGACAGGCCAAGCAUAUUGACACUCCUGGAGCCAACAAAAAGAAAAGGUCAAUGCAGUUGAAGCAGACAGCUGAUAAAUAUAUUUUCAGCAUUGAGUUGUAAAAACAUCAUUCAGAUGUACAUCUCCACAGGCAAAAAUUGGCACCAAGAAUCUCAAAUAUGCUCAAUCUCAAAAAAUCAAACACAAAAUGGGGAAAAGAAACUUGAUACAGGGAUGACCAUUUUGCGAUUGCAUUGACCAUCACAUAAGCUACCAGGUGGUACCCAUGCUAAAAUGAGACUUCUUUAGCAAUAAUAUAGGUACAAAAAGCACCAAUGUUCCAAAUAUGAAUCAGAUGGAAGUAGUUGGUAAAGAUCAAGAUAUCUUAUAGAAGUUCUAAAAAGCCAACCACUUACAUGGUAUGGAUGACCAACCCUAUGUCAUUGCAAGAUUAAGAAACAGUGAGUGUUCAAUUAGCAAUCUAACUAACCCGAAAAUAUUGAAUCCCCAAAAAUUUCAUCUUCCAAGAACUGCUUUUGGAUCAUUGCAAUUUCAGGGCGUGUGCAGGGAGCUUUCUUUCUUAAGCGGCGUAUGUCCUCAGUAUUCAUCAACUGUUGGCGAAUUGUACUUUCACAAAGCAGAAGAAAUUCUGUCAGUUAUAAUAAUUUGAGAUAGGAAAAGUUUUCUUGUGCCAUUAGAAAUCAAUGAGUGGCAUGAAAGUCACUAGAUACUUUUCCAAGAAAAUACCGAGGUAGACCAUCAGGACAUGGCUUUCCAAAAUCAUAUAUAGACACCAAAAUUUACAUAUUGCACAGAAUAGACCAUUUAUAUAAACUGGUAGAGGCAGCAAGAGAAACAAAAAGUAACAAACUAAAUUGUUUAACUAAUAAGUCACCAACAAAGCAAGCAGAUGUAAGAGCCAGAAGUCCGCAAUUUUGCUUCUAACACCAGAUGAAGUAAACAAUAUACACAAUAAGCAAUUUCUUUCCUUUUGAAUAAGCAGAAGACCUAAAAUCUCUCUUUCCUCCUCAAUUAAAUUCCUAUGUGCUGAAACAAUCAUCACCCAGAAUUUGAUUCCAAAGAAUUGGACUAUCAAACAGCUAUCAUGUCUGGAAAAUCAACAGGCAUAUAAUAGAGAAAAACAACAUACUCGCCAUGCAAAACCAUGGUAUCAUCCAUGAGAACCUUCCUUUUGAGGUACUGGUCCGUGGAGCUGAUCGAUGGCGCUUCAGAGAGGUUAUCUCAGAAGGAGGCGGUGUUGGCUUCAUUUUCAAAACAGAAGAUUUCCUUCCAACUGAAGUAACAAAAUUUUGAUUAGAUUCAAAGGCAAUUAGAAGCAUGGUCAAAACAGAAAAAGAAGCCAAUCUAUUCUUAAGCCAACUUAGGCAAGAAAAAAAGGAAGAUUUCCACUCUACCUAAAAUGGAAGACAGCAAAUCAUCGUCAUCAGGAACAGCCUCUACCGUUUUUUUGGUGCGCACUGCCCUAGAGGACUCACUGAAUUUAGACUCUGCUCAGUAAGUACUUUCAGUGUAACUACGCUUCUUUCCAGAAACAAUUCUGCUCCCAGCAUCACUUUCAUCCACGCCUCCCACAUCUCCUGGUGUAACCUCCAUCAACAUGCUCCUUGGUCGAUCACCAAACCCUUCAGGUACUGAUAACAAUUUCUCAGGUGCAGGCAAAUCAAUAUCCCGGAACUUUUUAAAUUACCAGAACCUGCAUGAAUGUCUUCAAGUGAAGCAGGUACUGUCGUAUGGUUUUCCUUUAAACUUUGUCCUGAAUCAUCAACUGAGUUACAUAUUUCACCUGGGAAAUCCUAGACAUGUUUAAUAUCAAACUAAAUAUUCAAAAUUCAUGAUUAUAUUAUAACACCAACCUUGCACCACAGUAGAAUCCCCAGAAGCCUGCAAUAUCUCCACUGUUUUAGAAGUUUCCAGAGGUAGAGCAGCUCUAUCGGAUGGUUCAAGAUCAACACUAUGUUCAGCUACAGCAUGCGAAGAAUCAAGCUCACCUAAUUCCGCAUUACACGACCUAAGAACAUGAAUUUGAUCACAGGGAACUCCAUUCUCAAGAACCAGGUUUGAAUUUUGAGAAUUUUUAGGCUCAACACAUGCUAUACUUUCAGGCCUCUCAAGGCCAGAUGUACCCAGUAAUUCAGCUCCAAACUCCAAUCCAUCUCUAGGAGAGGAUGGUCUUUCCGAAAUUGCAUUAUUAUUCAUAUUAUUAGAUUUUUCUCCACCUUCGGUUACUUGCAAGCAUGAACUAGCCGAACCUAAAACACCCUCGUCAAACCCUUCAGAGAUAACUCCAGUGAUUUCUCCAUGGUCAUCAUGGGACAGACGAAAGGAUGGAACAUCAUCCACAAUUUUGACAUUUCCACAAAGUAAUUCUUUUUCCCUGUUCAAACUAUCAGAAAUUGCAAUUGCAUCAUCUGCCAAUUUUGGUCCCUGACAGACGACUCCAACUCCAGCUACAGCAUGAUCAUUUGAUGACAUGUCCUCAGUGUUAACUUCACUAGGAGACACGCCUGGUUUAAUCCAAAUCACUUGAAUGAAACCCAUUCUCCUCACAAGGCACAAAAGGAGCCACAUCAGUAUUAGUGUCAAUAGGCAUUGACCAACCAAUAUGCUCAUUCCCUUGAUGAAGAUUUGAUCUGCUGAAGUGUUCUCAAGUUCUCCUUCACUGCAGAUUCCAUCAAAUGGUUAUCUUCAGAUUCAAUAUGAUCAUCACAUGCCGACGUCUCUUGUACAUUAGAUAAGUUAGGCUCUUCAACAAGUCCAGGAGUACGAGGAGCCUGAGCAUAGUCCAUCAGAUCUGCAUCUUCAUUAACAUCUUCAAUCUGCUUGAACAAAAUCAUAGUCACUAAGACAAGGAACUAAUCCACUAAAGAUCAAAUUAUGCCAAGUAUUAAUAUUGAGAAUGCAUAAACAAAAAAAUUACCAUCCAUCUUAGUACAAAGGACUCCAUUCAACAUAAAGGGUCAUUUAAGGUAGGGAGAUAAAAACUAAUUCAAAGCGCAACAAUUGCCCUCAUGUUCAAACUUACCACUGUUUCAGGGUUCGCAGGCAUCCCUUGAUGAUCUUCAUCUAGCUUCAGAGGUGUCAUUGAAUGGACAGAUGCCUGGGGAUCAGCACUGAAAUCAGAAGGAAAAAAAUAUAUAUAUCAGAAACGAUGUAUCAUUUAAAUAUAAAGAUAAACCUCACAGAGUAUUGAAAUUCACCAGAUCAUUAAACUGGAGUUAAAUCUACAUGUACCAGUAAAAAAAAGGAAGACUAAGUCGUAUCAGCAAGACUGAGCUAAGCCACUACUCUAAAAUCAGAAAACGCAAACACACGAAUGUACAUGUAAUACUAUACUUGUGUAACCAUGACAUUACAACUACAGAACACAAAAGAUUGACUGAACUAUAAAAUAUAUCAAUUUCCAAAAGCACAUUACAAAUCAAGACAAUAUUUGAAUAAGAAACGAAGCAACCAACUGCCACCAUCCUCAUAUCAAAUUUCUCCAACGCCAAAUCAGCAGUAAUUUUAUGUUUACAGAGGUAACCAGAUCAGCAGAUCUGUAGUUAUACCUGUGUCUAUCCUGAAGUGUGAAGACAUUUGUCAUAUGAUUCCCAAGAAACACUUGAAAAAAUAUAUAAAAUCCACUAAACAUAAAUUUAUGAGCUUCAUGCAGACAUUAUAUAAUUGCUUGAAUAUAAGAUGCAUUAUGCUUGAAAAUGACACCAUAAAACUCGCAGAUAACAAAAGAACACCAAGUACAAUACAAGUACAAAGGAAGAUUAGUGGAAAAUGAAAAAAGACCCAAGCUCCAUUUCCCAAGGCUUCAGAGUGUACAUUGUAUCUUUCUCAAAAUAUGACUAUAGCUCCAAUGAGUAAAUUCUAGCAAAUGCGUUCACACAUAAUAAACUUGUAAAAUAUUCUACCAAAAACAAAAAUGACCUUCAUACUGAUCUUUUGUGCAGAGUGAAGACAGCGAAAGGGCAAACACAUAGCAGUUAGGAUAGCAAGGCACAAGGAAGCAUUUAAGGACUUUAUGAUGCUAAAGUGAAACUUACACCUCAUUAAAUGAAACCUAUAAUUAGACAGCAAAAUCUUUCCCAAAUUUUUAAAAAAUUUUGAGAAAAUAAUCCAACAAGAGACUACCCCUUUUUAUGGCAAGAAGGCUCAUUAAAGGUAAUAGUCUAAAGUUUUCAUGCCCCAAAAAUUCUACUCUCUUAUAUCAUGUGCAAUUACAUAUAUCAUGAGAAACUAUAAGCACAAAGCUAUGCAUAUUAGCAUGGAGGAGUCCAAUAGUGACAAAAUAUAAAUCAAACAAAGCAUACUUGUAAAGGAAAAUGGUCGAGUAACAGGAAGGAGAACAGAGAGUAUAAAAGAUGAAAAUGAUUAGGGGAAAAAAAUUAAAUAGGCCAGAGCCCCGUGGGUGGUUGUAGAAAAUCAACCUUCUUACUCUAAGAACGUCGCUUGUUAGUAUCAUAACUGAGCAAAGUAAGGGGCAAGAUAAGAUUAAUGUAUUUUAUACCACAUUAAGAAUAAAGAGAAAACAAACACAAAAACGUGCAUUCUUAUGAAUUUGAUACUUCUGUUAUUCAAAUGUAAAAAGCCAUACUCGCACUUCACUUCUCAAAUCAUGUGUUUUUUAUUAUAUCCUGUGAAAAUAUUAGAGAACCAGAAAAUUAAAAGAGUUCACAUUUUCCCCAUCAUUUGAUGAAGGAACAUAGCGGAAUACAGGUUAAAAAAAUUCAACUCUUCCUCAAAUCCAUCAGAUAGGGCAUGGUUUCAGUCAUUCUAAAUCAGCAAAUUAUAGGUUUCUUUUGCUAAAUGUAGAUAUGAGGAAUUAUUGUCUGCUUUUCACUUCUGCUUAUAGCUGAUUUUAGGCUGAAAAAAUCUGAUUGCAAAAAGUAGCCUAGAAGUGCUAUUGAAAUCAAUUUUUAGAUCAAAAGCGCAACUUUCAUUUUAGCCAUUUCUUCAAUAUUAACUCUCUUAUAAUCAACUUUAGGAAAGCUGAAGCAAGUAAAUUCCCUUAGUGGUAGCUCCAAAAGAAAAUUAGUUUCAUUGGCAACAUCAUCUUUUCUCAUCUCACUUAAAGCGGAACAAGGAAAGAUAAAAACUUCAUACUUCCCUCAUUUUUUUCUUCUUGUUGUCCCAAAGAGACAGUCCUAAACAAACCUAACCAAAAGAGAGGGAAGGACGGCAAACAAGAAAUAAUUGGGUAUCAGAUUCAGAUAGUAAUCCAAACACACACACACACACAGAGAAUAACAGUCUACCUCAAACCAGAAUGGCCUGCAACAUCAAUCUUGCCCAUUAAUAAUUCCUGUGAUCAUGGAAAGUGAAGUUUAGUGAGGAUAAGAGUUGCAAUUAGUAUUAAUAUCGUUCAUAUUAUACUGGACAGAUGUUUUGCUAGUCAGUAUUGCUAUGAAAUCAUUUUAAGCGUCUAAGAUAUAAUUAUAUAGAUGUAGGCCCACCAUUGAUACUAAAGGCUGUAAAAUCAUAAUCAACCAAGUAUAUAGAAUCUUGGAAUCCAAUUGAUCGAAAAUCUCAGAUAAAACUUAGUUACAAAAAUAAAACACCAUUGGUGCUCAAGUUUUCACCCUUUGUUGGGAACAGAACCUAUUCACAUAGGGAGACAAGUUGUAUACUGAUUAGGUAGAAAAACAAUUUUUUUUCUCACCCUAGAGCCAUGCAUUUCUAGCCUGCAAUGCAGUAUAAACUUCACCAGGCAGUAUACUUGAAAGUAUUGAAAUAUAAAAUUAAGCUUCAAAACUCUGACUGACUUUCAUAAGGAUGGAGGAAUUUACAAUUACAGGUGUACAGGAGAUACAGAACGUGAAGAGUACUAAAAACAAAGAACUUCUCUGUAUAUUUCUAGUCACUAAUGACUAUCCAUACAAUACUCCCAUUACCCACACCCACUUCCAUUUCUUUUUCUCGCAGAUAAUUUCAUAUGUUAUUCAAUUAAGAGUGAAUGGCCAAAACGGUCACUAAACUAGUCAAAAUGGCAUCAUUUGGUCACUCAAUUUUUGUAGCUAAAAAGGUCACUGAAUUCCAUGACAACCUAAAUUUUCAACAACUUAAAGUUGCUUCCUUUGCAGACUUAGCAACAGCUACAGCCUAAAUUCAAUGACAAAGCCCCAGAUCUGGUAGAGUGGGAAGGAAGGAGAGGAAUGGCGGAAAGGAGGGGAGGGGAAGGGAAGAAGAGAGAAAGGUGAUGGAAUUGUGCAAUAGUGGAGGGGGUUGUGAAGAAGUAGAAAGAAGAAGAGGAGGAUGCUGCUGGUGAUUUUUUUUUUUUUUGGCAAUAGUGGAGGUGAGUGGUGAAGAAGCAGAAAGAAGAAGAAGAAGAAAAGGAAUCAAUCUACUUUUAGAUCUAAGGCAUGGCUUGUGAGGUGAAAGCAGGUUGGCCAUAUUUUUUGGACAUUUUUGCCCCUGCACAAAUAUUCCUUCAAUUAAAAUACCCAUGUAACCAGAUGAUUCACCGGUAAAAAUUGACAAAAUGACUUGGACGGCGCGUAUUUUCCAGUUUAGCGACCUUUUUGGCCACAAAAAGUUAGGCGAUUAAGCGAUGCCAUUGUUAACAGUUGAGUGACCAUUUUGGCCAUUCACUCUUCAAUUAAUUUUAUCACCUUUCUCUGUUCUCAGUUUCUAAGAAGCAAUAGAAAAUCUCACAUUUAACACAAGGGUAACAUGACCAUUACCAAGAGUAGCAAUUAAUUCAGAUAAUAAUUAAAAACUUAAGUCCAAUUUACCACAAUUCCACCACAAAAAGAUAAGAAUUAAUGAUACAACACAAAAACUUCAACUGAAAUUAGCUUUUAUCUUGACUUACUGAUAACUUCAUGAGAGAAAAAUUGAAAGGAAAAUUGCAAGUCCGAUUUCACAGCUGCCAUUAAAUGUAAUUCCUGAAAAUGUCUAACCAUUCCUUUUCAGGCUUAGAACUACAGUCUGCUUCUGCUUUUUGAAUGAACUUCUAACUUUGGGGCACGUAUAAGUUGUGUUCAGCUGUGUUCUAGCCUAAGCUGCAUGCUUACAGAAUGUCCUCACUUUCCCAGAUCCAAUAUGAAAAUACAUCACAAGGAACUGCAUCUAACUCAGAGUCCAAAAAUGACAAAACUCUCCAACCAUGGUAUAUGGACAAUGUCCAACACAUCGUGUUGUAUAUGUUUAGAUAAAUAGUAGUUUAGUUCUAAAUGCGCAGACCUCUAGAUAAAAAAAAUUAAAAUGUAAUACUAUAAAAGAUUUAUUAGUAGUUUUUAUUUGUACUAAUCUUCCUCGAUAGAGCAAUAAUUCAAAAGCAACAUAGCACAAGAAAUGCUACCUCGUCGAGAUCUAGGCCUGAAGUAUCCCCAUCACCAAACCUCUCUGAAAAUAUACAAAUGAAGCAGCACCAAAAUCAGAUAUUAAUGUAUGAAAAUCAAUAGCAAAAGAUAUCACAAGAAAGAAUAUCGAGCAAACUAAGAACAACUUGAUCUUUUUUUGGCCAUAGCCCACCAAGCCAAUUAGUACAAAGUAAUGAUACUAACCAUCCAGUCCAAACUGAGACGUCGAAUAAACCACACCCUCCAUGUUAUCUUGAAGGGUGAUCUGUUCCCUCGAACUAAUGUGAUGAUCCACAAAAUUACUGCAUAAAUUGUCAUCAAUGAAUCAAUAUUGCAUUUCACUGGUAACAUACAGUACUCUUGAUGAAACACUUUGGCUUCAAAAAAAAAAAAAACCAACUAAAUACACCAUAAGUAUAAAUCACAAGCAUAAAAAAUAUAUGACACUUAUCAUGCAUAUGCAGUUAAUCUUCAACCUCAAAGGAGUCUACAGUUCACAUUUGACCUGAAAAAUGACGUGAUGUUCUAUAUGGAAAAAUGGUACACUUGUCGAAUCUUUAGACGUCAUUAGUCACAUUCAUAGUUUAGAUGUUCAGAAUCAUUAAUAACUAUAUAAACCACAUUGCAGCAUAUUAAAAAGGUAAGUUUGUCUACAGUAGCAUAACUUCAUGAUGGAAAGAACACAAAACAUGUAAGAACCACCCCUGAAAGAUGUCAUUAUCUGGCAGCUCAAAAUCAUCAAGAUCGAAAGUCUCUGGCAAAGUGAUUGAGUUAUAAGGUGCCUUAGAUUCUUCAGGAGGUAAAUCUACAGCAGUGGAGCGAAAAGCUUGCUUGAUCUUAAGCAAAGCCUCACUGCAAUCAUCAAAAAGGUAAUUGACCUUCCUAGAGUAUAUCCUCACUACGCCAAGUAGAAGAUGGCUUGACAACCGCAAUGCAAUGGGAACAUCAGGGCAAAGAAUUGAAUCUGUUGUGGAUAUGAAUCAGAAGCCCCAUAAGAAUAAAUGAGUCUUACACAGAAAAUCACAAGUAUACAAAGGAAAAAAGGAAAUUAAAAUUGGUAAAUAUGAGCAAGCCAAUUAAUAAUUGACUUUUCAGAGAAGAAUAAUGGAAAAGUAACACACUUGCAUACUAAAAUACAUGGCAAAAAUUUCUAAUAUUUUGCAGCCAGCAACAUUCAUUUAAAAAAAAGGACAAUAUGGGCUUUAAUAACUUGCAACUCCAUAUGCAGGAGACACUUUGAUACUCAAUGACUAGAGAAGAAUUGCACCAAAAAUGAGACAUCUACAGCAGUUAUGUCAAGCUAAAUAGGUGCUUAGAUUCACACUUGUUUCAGCUUAAGUUCAAACCCAAGGCACUGGUGAAAACUUUGCAUUUUAACAAAGCAGGAUAACCCUAGAAAGCACAACAAAAGAGACAAAAAAUGCACAUACAAGAACAGCAGAUAUAAUUGGAAAUGGUAUGCAAGAAAAUCAUCAUAAUCUAUUGAAUGCAGUACAGAAUUUCUAGAUGGCCACCAGUCAAAUAGAAUUCAGAACCUCAAAGAGUAGUAAUUGCUGCAUGCUGCAGGACUACUCCAUGGACAAAUAUAAUAUAAACAACCACACAACAUAAUUUGAUAGAGUUACAAUUGUAUACAUAAAAUUAUCAAGGACAAUAUCAAGAACCUUUUUGCUUUUUCUGUUUCGAUCAUAGUUUGGAUAACAGUUUUUGAGUAGCUAAGCAGCAAUUUGGCAAAACUUCUAAAACUGAUCACUGCAUCUUCAUAGAAUUCAACUAGAAUUGGGUGAUAGUAUAAUUAUUUCAAUGACUAUUGGAUGCACUGAAAUUUCAAUCUGAACCAAACAUAGGGCUGUGGAGGAUUUAAAUUGUAGCUGUCAGCGAAACUUUGAUUAAUCAUUACUUUUGUACGCCUUGAAUGCAGUAAAGUUUUAAGCUUGAAUUGAAGAUAAAGUUCAUUGAGGCUUUAAAAUGUAGCAGUCAGCAAAAUGUUGGCUACAAGACAAAGGUAGGAAAUACUUUGUUUUAAAUGAACAAACAUCAAGAGAAAAGCAGAGAUUGCACGCCUUUGGUUUAGCAAAAUAGCACGUUAAAGAAUUGUAUCCAAGGCGUGCAGAACACAUGCAAUACUAAUGAAAUUUCAAAUGUCUUAGCUAUAACAGAAGACCUACUUUAAUUUGUACAUAAAAAUGACUUUACUGCUUUUACAUAUGUUAUUCAAUUCCGAUUUACUUUCCCAUAAUCAUUACAAAACACUUAAACCCAUUUUGAACUCCACAAAAGUCAAUUAUUGCAAAAUUUCUGUAACCCAUACUGAAGGCCUUGUUCUAAUCUGAUUAUUGAGAGAGAGAGGACACCAUUAACCAAUUACAAUUGAUGUGAUAACAAGUUUUAGAUUCUACUAUUUGGUCAUUCACACUCGGGUCAUUCAACAUGUGUGCAUAAACAAGAAAAUGAGGAGGACAGGUCAUUCCAAAAAAACCUCCUUUUUCUUUUUAUGUGACUUGAGCAUACCAAAUAAAGCCAAAUUCUCAAAUCUGGUCCAUAGUAUCGUUUAAUCAAUCUAGAAACUUUUACUUGAUCAAUCUGGAAACUUUUAAAUCAAUCUAAAAACUUUUACUUAAUUUGCUCUGCAAAUGAAAAUAGUUUCCCAACUUGUUUGUACAUCUCCAAUGGUACAUAUUCAACAUAUACCAAUCUGCUAAUAGCAUUCUACCUCCUAACUAACGACACCAACAAUUGAUUGAAAAGUACAAAUCCAUAACACGUAAAAAGGUGACAAACUAACAAAUUACAUAUAUUAUUCCAAUGCUUUCCAUCAGAAUGAAACACAGAAUAACACUCUCAAGUUAAGAUUUCAAUAUUGGUACUUAAGGAACUAAAAGUUAUCGUCGUCACAACUUUGUCGCAUGCCAAACGCAAAAUGAUAUCUUUAAUUUAGAAUUACACGUUUGGUACUUAUGCUUCAAUCUCAUUCACCAAAAACUUAAUCGACGCUAGUUACCGUCCAUAUAGCUAGUCAACAAAUUGGCAUAAUAGGACAUGAUCUAGCUAAUAGAAACAAAAUGAAACCAAUCGGAAAGCUUCAACAAGGUGAAGCUAUAGAAUAUUUUCAAAACUAAGCUCAUACUCCUCACUUAAUAACAUCAAGACACAUAUAACGGUGACAAAUUUCUAUUGGAAACAGAUGCGGCAUAUUUGAGCACCAUUUUCAACAGGGAGAUUUCAAAUAUUGUCGAGGAAAAGAAAACAUAAAAAUAUUCUCAGGAAAUAGAGCAGCACAAUAAAAAAAAUUUAAAAAUAAGGAAGACCAAAAGAAUUUAUUAUGCCACAAACACAUAACACUUCCAACAAAUGAAAAUUUCUUUUUGCCUCCUAAAAGGUAAUGACAUGAAAUUCAGUCAGCCUUGUACUUCAAACAAGUGAGCAUAGACCCGGAACCUGAAUGUUAGUAUGUAAGUAUGUAUGCAUGCAGGGCCCACCAUACAGGCAAACUACCUCCCCCAAACAACUGAUUCAAAGAAGUUCAACUUUGUUUGAACCCGUCCAGAAAGUACUAGCCACCAGGCAAAUCAUUCUUUUAAUAAACUCUCUACCUUUAUUUUAGGGCCAAUACGGCAAAGCACAUCGAGAAUGAGGAACAUGACGUCAUUGAACAUAGAUAUGUUGCUGAAGCUUAUUCUACCUUUACCAAAUUGCUUACGAAAGCAAAAAAUGAUGUGGAUCGUAUAAAAACAGAAAUAAUCCAGGCAAUAAACGUCUUGUCCUUACGUGGAAGCAGUCUUUAUCCAACUAGGAGCACCAAGACCUCAUUUAUCCAUUACAUACGCAAUCCAAGGAAAAGUUUCUGGCAUCAUUUCCAUCGAGAUUAAACAUGUAACUCUAACUACUAUUUGGCAAAAGGUGAGUAAAAUAUAAUGUGUAAGCACACAAACAUUGCAAGAUUUACCAAACUUCAUAAGUCAUAACGACUGCUAUCCUUUCUUCAUCCUGGUGAUUAACCAUUUCAACUUCCACAUUUACUCACAUACAACAUCUUUAAACAAUUGCCUUCCCCCCCCCCGCCUUACAAAAGAACAUUUUCCUAAGAGAUAUUCAGACAGCUAAUUCAUAUAGAAUCAAUUCAAGUUACAUUCAAAAAAAUGUAUAAUAGAAGCUUAACACAAAUCAGAAACCUGUAAGGAAAUUUACUUACCUACAGAGUCACCAAUAUCGGUAUCAGCCACCUGAUUUUUUCGAAGCUUCCGUUCCAAAUGUGUGCUGCAAUCCAUAUAGUUCCUAAGGGCCCCUUUUUUGCCAAUAUAAACUGCGAAUAAAACAUCUUUUCUCACCCACUCUUCCCUUAUUACUCCACAAAAAUCCAAACUUUUUACCUCAGAAAAUGAAAAUUCACACUUCUCUACAACAAAACAACAACAGCUUCCAGUAAAACUCCAACUACCCUCUACACAUCUACAAACACAACACAACAACCAUAAUUUACAACACUGUUACCUCAUAAAACCGAGCAAUGAAAAAAUCCCCAAAAUCCCUUAACUUAAAAACCCUAAUUACACAAACUUCAAUCAGGACCAGCCACAUCUAAAAUCACUUCCAAAAACACCUCAAAGCCCAUAUUCCCACCAAAGCCCUAGAAUUCAAGGACGAAAAAAAAAAAAAAAAAGAACCCAAAUUAGCUAUAGCUUGAACACCUAGGAAAGCAAAACCUUAAGCUAGGGUUUCCUCUCAAGUCGUAAAAAUCUCCAAUUCAGCUGCUUUCACAAAAAUUACGAGUAAAGAUCCAAACUUGACUUCAAAUUAAGCAGCUACAAGCUUCUACUCGAACAAUUAUCUUCGAAAACUAAGAUCGAACUUCGAUACUUGAGUAGAAAAGAACAGUAUAGUACAAAUACAUACAUACAACUGAUCUGUAUAUAUAGGUAGAAAGAAAAGUCGUGAAAGAAGGCGGAAGUAGUGCGUGUAGUGUGUGCAAUUCGAUCCGAGUGAUUUGAAAUGAGAAGCUGGUACCUCCGAUACGCUUAGAUUUAUUUUUAUUUUUUCUUUUCUUUUUCCAUCUGAGUUUUUUGGGGAUUAUAUUGCUGGUGCGAAUCAGAAGCGCCUUCGUUUUCGAAUUUUGAGGAUUUUCGAACCGGGGAAAGGUUCAGUGUGCGGCACGUGCGCGUUCGAAUUGGACGUCACCGUCGGAUUUAUUGCAGCUGUGAUGAGAUUUAGUGGCUGGGAAUUUGAACGGUGGAGAUCUAGUGACGAAAUCCUCGUCGUCUGGUUGGGUACUGUUUUGAAGUGUACUGCAGCCUGUCCUCGUCAAAACACUGCAGUUACUGUGGGUGUUGACAAUUGACGACUGCCCAAACGACACGUAUUUUUAUUUAUUUCUUUCCUUUUUUUUUGUUACACAUUUGUCAGUUGGGAUAAUUUCAGAAACCUCACGUAAGUUUUUGACAAUUUCACUAGUAUAUCUUGAAGUUUGCAAAAUUGUGCAAAUCUCCCAUAAAGUAAAGGUUUUGAUAACAAAAUGGGUAAAAAACAAAAAAAAUCCCAUGUGAUAAACCUAAUACACAGAAAAGCCUUCCAUGGUUUCAAAAUAUACAACACGACCUCUCAUGCUUUGAACUAAAUUGUAAAGGUAACGGAAUUCGUUAAAUUUAACGGAAAUGAACAAAAUGACCAAAAUGCCCUGAUAUAAUAAAGCAAAAGACAACUCAAAAAAAAUCAUUUGUUUUAUUCUCUAAAUAGAGAGAAUUGAGGGUUAAUGGGUAGAAUAAGUAUAUUUGAUAAAAAUUAGGUAUAAAAAAAUUUUUUUAGGUUCCAAUAAGUCAUUUCCGUUAAAUUUAACGGAUUCCGUCACCUUUACAAUUUAGUUCGAAACAUGAGGUGCCAUAUUGUAUAUUUUGAAAUCAUAAGGGGCUUUUCUGUGUAUUAGGCUUACCACAAGGGGUUUUUUUGUUUUUUACCCUAACAAAAUCAAUCCAAAUAGAAAAACUAAUAUUGAAAAAGUAUUUUAAAAGAAAAGAGAUAAAAUUUUUAUUCGAUAAAUACCCCUUAGGCAUAUAUAUAUAUAUAUAUAUAUAUAUAUAUAUAUAUAUAUAUAUAUAUGUAUAUGUUGUAUUAAUAAAAGAAUAAAAAAUAUUAAAAUUAUAAACAAUUAAUACACGCAUUUCACCGCUCAAAAAAUUCAAAUUUAAUAAAUUAGAUAACACAAACAAGUAGCAAAACUACAAUAAUGAUCAUAAGAUUCAACAAAACAUACUAGUCAUCUUUUUUAACAUGAUGUUUGUGUAUGAUUCUUGUGAUUUUAAAUAGAAAAACUUUCAAAUUUUGCCUUUCUUUUCCCUCGUUUCUCUUUUACUUCUGUGAAAUUACUUUAUAACUGUCACAACUUUAAGAGUUAAAAUAAACACCUUAUAAACAAUCUUCUUUUGGCAUGUAUUUUAUCUUUUAUCAAAGUUCUUCUUUCUCACGUCCUGUACAACUGAUUUUUUGUCAUUGUCAAAUUCUAUUAAUCACAAAAUAGCAUCAUUAGAUUUAUCAAUUGGUGUAUUUGGUAACUACAAGUCAUCGUUAAUCAUUAAAAAAUUUUCAACUAUUAUUUCCAUUAAUUAGUGAUUGAUAGUUAAUUAGUACUCUAAUUACUUAAUCAUUAGAUAUUAACAAAGGAUAAAUUAGGAAAAAGAAAGACAAAAAUUUGAAAUUUUUUCCCAAAAUCACAAAAAUUGUAACAAAUAUCAUGUCAAAUGAGAUGACUAUUUUAUUUUACUGAAUCCUAUGAUCAUUAGUGUAGUUUUGCUGUUUAUUUGUGUUGUGUAAUUUAUUGAAUGUAAACUUUUAAAUGGUAAAAUGUGUGUAUUAAUUGUUUCUAAUUUUUAAUUAUUUUGUUCUUCUACUAAUAUAACUUAUAUAUAUACAUAAGAGGUAUUUAUGGAACAACAGUUCCAUCUCUUUCAUUAAAGUACUUUUUUAAUAUUAUUUUUUAAUUGGACUAUUUUUGUUAUCAAAACUUAAACUCAUUGGAGGUUUGUAUAAUUUUGCUAACUUAGGAAAGGCUAGUGAAAUUAUCGGAUGCCUUAUAGGAGGUUUCUGAAAUUAUCCCUUGUUUGUUUCUGAAACAAUUAUCAAGAAUGGCUUUUCUCCAAAUGGAAAAUUUUAAAUUUGGUGUAAAGGUUUUACCUUUCCUCUAUUUUGUGAACAAAGAAUCUAUCAUUAAUGUAAAACAUAAAUGUGUGUUUGGAUUGUAGAUUAUUUGGGAUAUUUUUUUUGAAAAAAAUACUAUAACACUUUUUUGAAUGUGAUACGUGUGAAGUAAAAAUAUAGUUGAAAAAUGUGUUGCUAAUGUAAGUAAACAAAUUUUUGGUAAUACAUUAACCAAACAAACCUAAUCAAAAGAAAAUUAACAUUUAAUUACUAGGAAAAUAGAAGUUAGGGAAUGAAGCGAUUGAAAAUGUAUUCAACCCAUCUCAAAUUAUUAGCAAAAAUGAAAACGUGAGUGUAAGAGUAAACAUUUAUAAGGAGUGCCUGAGAUUCUAUAAAAUAAAAUGUAUUCGAUCCAUCUCAAAAUAAAAAAUGGAUUCUUCUAAUGGUACAUAACGAGCACUUGUUAAAGUAUCUAAAUCACUCUUAAUUCACCGUAUAAAUAUAUGCAUUAACAACUAUCAUCUUAUAUUGCAUUUAUAAAGUUUAUCUAUUUAAUUAUAUUUCCAAAAUAUUAAGUACUCGUUAGACAAAAUCAUUAAUAUAUAUAUAUAUAUGAUUUUUCUAAUUGGUGCCCACUGGCACUCAGUAUUUAAAAUUUAUUUAACUUAUCAUGUUUAUACACAUACUAUAAUAAUUAUCCCCAUUGCAUUUAUAUAACUUUUUUUUAUUUAACCUUACCUACCUUUCCUUAUAUUGUUUAGAUUAGAGCUGUUAAUGAAUUGAACUGUUUAUUAGUUCAACUUAUCUAGGCUCAUUGGUAUUCAAUAAUAGUUAUUUGAUUGUAUAUCACAUUAUGUGAUAAGUGAAUAACUUAUCACUUAUUUUUUAAAGCAAAUUUCGUGUAGAAAAUUCAAUGCUAUUUAAUUAAUUCAAAUGUUUAAUUUUUAAUUAUCAAAUGCAUCUGAACAUAUUAAAAUUUGAAUCUAUUAAAUUUAAAUGUCGAAUGGAAUUAUCAAACAGUGCCUAAGUCAAAUCAAGAGCCUCAAAGUUACUUGACUAAUGUUAGGGAUAGUUUCACAUAAGGGUGCAAUCGAGUUGAAUAGUGCACUACUUGAAUUUUAAAAAAAUAGGGUCUGUUUGGAUUGCUCGAUUUUUAAAAACAAGUUUUUCGUAUACAAUGCUACAGUAAUACACAAUUUUAUCAGUAAUUGUUAGAUGACAAGCAAUUUUAUCAGUAAUUGAUUUUGAAAUAGAAUUUAUUAAAGAAGAAAAUAAUUCUCUUCCUGAUUUUUGAGUACAAUUUCAUCUCUCUCAUUAAAGUACUUUUUUUAGUAUUAUUUUUUAAUUGAACUAAUUUUUUUUAUCAAAACUUAAACUCAUUGGAGGUUUGUAUAAUUUUGCUAACUUAGGAAAAGCUAGUGAAAUUAUUGGAAGCCUUAUAGGAGGUUUCUGAAAUUAUCCUUUGUUUGUUUCUGAAACAAUUAUCAAGAAUGGCUUUUCUCCAAGUGGAAAAUUUUAAAUUUGGUGUAAAGGUUUUACCUUUCCUCUAUUUUGUAACCAAAGAAUCUAUCAUUAAUGUAAAACAUAAAUGUGUGUUUGGAUGGUAGAUUAUUUGGGAUAUUUUUUUUUAAAAAAAUACUAUAACAAUUUUUUUAAUGUGAUACGUGUGAAGUAAAGAUAUGGUUGAAAAAUAUGUUGCUAAUGUAAGUAAACAAAUUUUUGGUAAUACAUUAACCAAACAAACCCAAUCAAAAGAAAAUUAACAUUUAAUUAUUAGGAAAAUAGAAGUUAGGGAAUGAAGCGAUUGAAAAUGUACUCAACCCAUCUCAAAUUAUUGGCAAAAAUGAAAACGUGAGUGUAAGAGUAAACAUUUAUAAGGAGUGCCUGACAUUUUAUAAAAUAAAAUGUAUUCGAUCCAUCUCAAAAUUAAAAAUGGAUUCUUCUAAUGGUACAUAACGAGCACUUGUUAAAGUAUCUAAAUCACUCUUAAUUCACCGUAUAAAUAUAUGCAUUAACAACUAUCAUCUUAUAUUGCAUUUAUAAAGAUUUUCUAUUUAAUUAUAUUUCCAAAAUAUUAAGUACUCGUUAGACAAAAUCAUUAAUAUAUAUAUAUAUAUAUAUAUGAUUUUCUAAUUGGUGCCCACUGGCACUCAGUAUUUAAAAUUCAUCUAAUUUAUCAUGUAUAUACACAUACUAUAAUAAUUAUCCCUAUUGCAUUUAUAUAACUUUUUUUUAUUUAACCUUACCUACCUUUCCUUAUAUUGUUUAGAUUAGAGCUGCUAAAUGAAUCGAAUUGUUUAUUAGUUCGACUUAUCUAGGCUCAUUGGUAUUCAAUAAUAGUUAUUUGAUUGUAUACCGCAUUAUGUGAAAAGUGAAUAACUUAUCAUUUAUUUUUUAAAACAAAUUUCGUGUAGAGAAUUUAAUGAUAUUUAAUUAAUUCAAAUGUUUCAUUUUUAAUUAUCAAAUACAUAUGAACAUAUUAAAAUUGGAAUCUAUUAAAUUUAAAUGUCGAAUGGAAUUAUCAAACAGCGCCUAAGUCUAAUCAAGAGCCUCAAAGUUACUUGACUAAUGUUGGGGAUAGUUUUACCUAAGGGUCUGUUUGGAUUGCUUAAUUUUUAAAAACAAGUUUUUCAUAUACAAUACUAUAGUAAUACACAACAAAAACAACUUAAAAAAUACAGUAUCCAUACAAUAUAUAAAAAAUAAUUCCAAAUAUAAAAAAAAAAUACACCACUAUCCAGCACCAUCACUCUCCACCACCACGGUCACCAUCUUACUGCCACCACCCCCACACCCAUGACCCUUUCUCUCUCUCCGCCCAUAUUUCCUCACUUUCUCCUCCUCCUCCUCCUUUUUCCCUACUUCUCUCUUUCUUUCUCCUUCCUUCUUUCUUUUUCCCUUUCCUUACCCCCAAUUUUUUUCCCCUCCACUGACCACAACUUUUCUAGUCACGAUCAAAUAUGAUCACGACCAGAAGCCGCAACCAAUACGGUCGCGAUUUGAGUGGUGGCUAAAGUCACGGUCACCACCUGCGAGCGGGAGAGGGGUUUGGGGUUGGGGGAAAUGAGAGGAGAGGAGAGAAGGGAGAAGAGAGGGGAAAGAGGGAUGAGGAGGAGAAGGCUGGGAGGAAAUAGAGGGGCGAAGGAAAGAAAGAGAAAGUAGAGGGGGAGGGAAAAGGAGGGAGUGGUGGUGAGUCGUGUAAAAUUUUAAAAAAAUAUCUCAAAAAAAUUGUAAAUUAUAAAAAUAUUCAAAAAUAUAUAUUAAAAAUAUCUCUAAAAAUAAUCCAAAAAAUAUACAGUAAAAUUUUUUCAUAUACACAACUACAGUAAAGUUUUUGAAAAAUAUUCUCAAAAAAAGCUAAUCCAAACAGAGGCUCAAACUCAAAUUCAAACUUGCCGAACUCAGUUACAUUUUGUUUUGCAUUACUCAAGUUCAACCUCAAGCUCAUACUCAUUGAAUUCAAUUGAACUUAAUUCGAGUUCAAUCGACCUUAAUCGAGUCUAAUCCAAUUGAAUAAAUAUAAAUUUAUAUUUUAUAUAAUUUUAAAUAAAGGAUAAAAUAGACAUUUUAUACUAAAGAAUAAAAAUUUUUUAAAAACAUAUAUAUGUGAACCUCGAUUGAGUUUAACGAACAUUUAAACUUCAAAUAUUAAGUUCGACCUCGAGCUCAAACUCAAUUUACGUGAUUGGAACUUGAGUUUUGAUGAUACAAGUUCGUAACGUACUUGAUUAAGUUUGAUUCGUUUGCACCUUUACUUCCACUUCCACGUUGUUUUUGAUCUUCGUCACUAGUGGCUCGCUCUAUAAAUGGGCUGAGUCUUAUGAGGUGUCUAACUACGUAAUUCCAUUCGACCCAUAGGAUUAGAACCCGAUAGAUUUCCACCCUCAAGCACAACUCACCAUAUUACAAAGGCAAGCCCGCCAGCAGGGAUAUGCGCCUGGGCUGGAGUAGGAAAGCCUACCAUUCUCCGUCACAAACGCUCGUGGAGCAGGUAACGAACCUCCUUGGGUGGACAGAAGCGUAGGUUAAAACUUAAAAGUUCCGUCCUAUGACUAAAGAGCGCCACGUUUCUGUCCACAAACAUUUUUUGGUAAAAAAGCUAAUCUCACCUUGGAUCGAUCAAUCAACACUUUUCUACAUUGGUGCUAUAAUACUUGGCUGCCACCAGUCCAUCAUUGUAGCAACUAGCCGACAACCGAGAAGGGACCAGUUUUUUCUUACUCAAUGUAGCCUUCUUUGCUUUGAGCGCCAGGAAUUCCUCCCAACCCCACCACCUGCCAUUUUUGUAUUUAUAUUGGGAAUAUACGCCUGCCUUCUUUGCCGUUACGGAUCCCAGAUUUCCCAUACACACCAUAGUUUGGGUCCAAUAAAAGUUCAAGAAAGAUCAGAUUUUUAUUCAAUUUUUCAAACCAAUCCAUGUCCUUAAUCACCACUGGUGCUAGGCAUUAAUGUUAUAGGAGUACCAAGUAUUUUGGAGGAGGAGAAUAAACAGAAAAAAUGGUUUCUUUAAUUGAGAUUAACGAAGAGAGAGGAGGAAGGAGGAGGAGCAGCAGAGGCAGUAAUUAUAGUUCUACUAAUGGUACAGGUGCUGGUGCACAGACUACUACUACUAGCAGGAGUGGUAGUAAUGGGAGUGAGAAAAUGAGGAAAUUGUUAUUGGGAAUCGGAUUUUGGGUGCAGGGAUUGAGGUGUUUACCAUGGCUUGGGGUGAAUUUUUUCCUGAAAGAUGGGCUGAGAGUAGACCCUGCUACUUCGCAGAUUCUUCAGAAUUCUGCUACCUUGCCAAUGGUGGCCAAGCCCCUUUAUGGUAUCAUCUCUGAUUCAUAUUAUAUCUUUGGCCAGCGUCGAACUCCCUAUAUUGCUAUUGGAGGUAUUACGCUUUCUUAGAUUAUUUUUUGUUUAAUUUUUUUAUGUUACUUUUAUGCGCAUUGGUGUUUUAUUUUAUUCUAACUUGUUUAACAUAUGUGGAUGAAUGCUAAUUAGAAAGACUGAGUUGUGAAGAAUUCUAUGCUCUGAAUGUUUUUUUAUAUUCAAAUGAUUUGUCCCGAGUAAAAUACAAUUGGACUCAUCGAAUUUAUAUCUUUCCUUUCAUCAAAUUAGCUUUUUCUAGUAAGUUUCCCUUCAGGCUGUAAAUGGGCCUCAACUUUUCGAUCAUCUAGCAAAACCCAAUCCUGUUGAAUCUAGAAUCUGCAGCCCUGGCUGAUGGAUUAAUGUUCAAGUAGAAAUGAGAUCAGUAACAUAUUGUAAAGUAGUAAAAGAGAUAUACAAAUAUUUUUGUUUAUCUGUAUCUAUACUUGUAUACAUAUAGAAAGUGUAUAAUGCAAGAGUAACUUCGCCAUGGGGUUGUUUCUUCGACCCCCCCCCCUCUUUCCAAAAAACAAAAAUUUGGGGGCCGGAGUGUAUACUUCUAGGCAAUGGGGGACUUUUGGGUGGAGAUCUGAUGUAACAAUGUGCCAACGUUUUAGUGAUAAACUAUUGAGAGCUUGCCUUUAGAUCCAUGGAUGGCUUCCUGUAAUAGCAAUCGAAGUGCUGCAAUUCAUUUUGGUACUACAAUUAGCUCAAAAGGUCAUGAGUGAGAGUACCAGUUUUUAUGGCUCCCAAUCAUUGAAAUCUUGCCUACCUUGUUCCCCAGCAUUAGAAAGAAGUUAUGUGGAACAGAUCCAGGCUUCUGGAGUCACUACCAGUUGAUACCAUAUCCGAGACUGUGCUUCUUAUUUAAGCCUGAUAAAUAGUGACUGCCCUAUUGAAUUGUAGUUGGAAGAAAGAAAUGAGCCGGAAAAAUGGGUUCUUCAAUUGUCAAUGAUGAGGAAGGAGUUGGAGGAAGGAGGACAAAGGCAGUAGAAAUGGUAGUACACAUAGCAGUCCUAAUAGUGCUGUUCCUGGUUAACAAUUUGUUGCUACUACUAGUACUACGAGGUUAGGAAUAGGGCUUUGGCUUCAGGGUAUUCAGUUUUGUCCGUGGCUGGCAGUGAAAUUUUUACUAAAAGAUGGCCUAAAAGUAGACCUGUCUGUGAAUCAGUUCCUCGGGACUUACUGCUUAUGUGUCUAUGAUGGCCAACCCCUUUUUGUAAUCAUCUCUGAUUCUUAUUAUAUCUUUGGCCAGCAUCAUAAUGCUUGGGCUUCUUUUUUUUUUUUUUCCUCCUCUCACUUUGGUUAUCCUUUGGCUUGUUGCAGUGACUUCUGAAAAUAUUUGGCCUAUUUAAAUGAUGAAUGUCAAGUUGGAAAAUGAAGGAAGGAAGAUACUGGUUUUAUUUAGCAUUAUUAGUUUCAGUUUUGACCUCUUAAUAUCCAGUGUAUUUGAUCUCUAAGUACUGGGUGCUCUUUAAUAUGUAGCUCCAAUUGCAGAGCCCGUUUAAUUGUUGAACAGUGGGUAGAUAUCGAUGUACAAAUAUAGUUUGACAUAUGCAAUUCUGAUGUCUAAAACUCAAGAGUCUACUUAACCUUUUAUGAGGAAUAACCAGCCCAGAAUAAAUUGUAUUACAAGAUUUCAGAGUAAUUAAUGUGGCUGUAGAGUGUCUGAACUGUGAAAUUCAUGACUCCACUAUCAGUUGAUCAAUGUCUUCCUUGCUGUUUUUCAAUACAUAGUGUCCACUCAUCUUCUCAAACCAUAUCAAAUAAGUGUGAUAUCAGGCGCAUUGCCUGCAGAUAGGAGGUUACUGAUGUGAGGAAAGAAAAGGGGAAAAAGGGAAGUAGCAAAUGUUGUCGAACCUUUGGCAUCAUUAGUUAGUUUCUCUGCCAAGAUAGGAUAUAUAUAUAUAUAUAUAUAUGUAUAUGUAUAUGUAUAAUAUUUCAUUGCUUAAGAAGACAGGAAUGAGGAGUUGGAGGCCCUUAUUCU
rnacentral:lncRNA from 1 species